rnacentral:rRNA from 1 species
AGUGAACGCUGGCGGUAGGCCUAACACAUGCAAGUCGAACGGCAGCACAGUAAGAGCUUGCUCUUACGGGUGGCGAGUGGCGGACGGGUGAGGAAUACAUCGGAAUCUACUUUUUCGUGGGGGAUAACGUAGGGAAACUUACGCUAAUACCGCAUACGACCUACGGGUGAAAGCAGGGGAUCUUCGGACCUUGCGCGAUUGAAUGAGCCGAUGUCGGAGUAGCGAGUUGGUGGGGUAAAGCCCCACCAAGUCGACGAUCCGUAGCUGGUCUGAGUGGAUGAGCAGCCACACUGUGACUGAGACACGGUCCAGGCUCCUACGGGAGGCAGCAGUGGGGAAGAUUGGACAAUGGGCGCAAGCCUGAACCAGCCAUACCGCGUGGGUGAAGAAGGCCUUCGGGUUGUAAAGCCCUUUUGUUGGGAAAGAAAAGCAGCAGGUUAAUACCCCGCUGUUCUGACGGUACCCAAAGAAUAAGCACCGGCUAACUUCGUG